GGAGUGGACAGCUCAAUGGUAGAGCACGUGCUUUGCAUGCAGGAGGUCCUGGGUUCAAUCCCCAGUCCCUCCU
rnacentral:tRNA from 1 species